rnacentral:rRNA from 1 species
AACGAACGCUGGCGGCAGGCCUAACACAUGCAAGUCGAGCGAGAUCUUCGGAUCUAGCGGCGGACGGGUGAGUAACGCGUGGGAAUAUGCCCUUCUCUACGGAAUAGCCUCGGGAAACUGGGAGUAAUACCGUAUACGCCCUUAGGGGGAAAGAUUUAUCGGAGAAGGAUUAGCCCGCGUUGGAUUAGGUAGUCGGUGGGGUAAUGGCCUACCAAGCCUACGAUCCAUAGCUGGUUUGAGAGGAUGAUCAGCCACACUGGAACUGAGACACGGCCCAGACUCCUACGGGAGGCAGCAGUGGGGAAUCUUAGACAAUGGGGGCAACCCUGAUCUAGCCAUGCCGCGUGAGUGAUGAAGGCCUUAGGGUUGUAAAGCUCUUUCAGCUGGGAAGAUAAUGACGGUACCAGCAGAAGAAGCCCCGGCUAACUCCGUGCCAGCCGCCGCCGUAA